UACGAAGGGGGCUAGCGUUGCUCGGAAUCACUGGGCGUAAAGCGCACGUAGGCGGAUCUUUUAAGUCAGGGGUGAAAUCCCAAGGCUCAACCUUGGAACUGCCUUUGAUACUGGGGAUCUCGAGUCCGGAAGAGGUGAGUGGAACUGCGAGUGUAGAGGUGAAAUUCGUAGAUAUUCGCAAGAACACCAGUGGCGAAGGCGGCUCACUGGUCCGGUACUGACGCUGAGGUGCGAAAGCUGGGGGAGCGAACAGGA
rnacentral:rRNA from 1 species